AUCUAAGUACCCCGAGGAAAAGAAAUCAACCGAGAUUCCCCCAGUAGCGGCGAGCGAACGGGGAGCAGCCCAGAGUCUGAAUCAGCUUGUGUGUUAGUGGAACGGUCUGGAAAGUCCGACGGUACAGGGUGAUAGUCCCGUACACCAAAAUGCACAGGCUGUGAACUCGAAGAGUAGGGCGGGACACGUGGUAUCCUGUCUGAAUAUGGGGGGACCAUCCUCCAAGGCUAAAUACUCCUGACUGACCGAUAGUGAACCAGUACCGUGAGGGAAAGGCGAAAAGAACCCCGGCGAGGGGAGUGAAAAAGAACCUGAAACCGUGUACGUACAAGCAGUGGGAGCACCUUCGGGUGUGACUGCGUACCUUUUGUAUAAUGGGUCAGCGACUUAUAUUCUGUAGCAAGGUUAACCGUAUAGGGGAGCCGCAGGGAAACCGAGUCUUAACUGGGCGUUAAGUUGCAGGGUAUAGACCCGAAACCCGGUGAUCUAGCCAUGGGCAGGUUGAAGGUUGGGUAACACUAACUGGAGGACCGAACCGACUAAUGUUGAAAAAUUAGCGGAUGACUUGUGGCUGGGGGUGAAAGGCCAAUCAAACCGGGAGAUAGCUGGUUCUCCCCGAAAGCUAUUUAGGUAGCGCCUCGUGAA
rnacentral:rRNA from 1 species